rnacentral:rRNA from 1 species
GAUGAACGCUGGCGGCGUGCCUAAUACAUGCAAGUCGAGCGAACAGACGAGGAGCUUGCUCCUCUGACGUUAGCGGCGGACGGGUGAGUCACACGUGGAUAACCUACCUAUAAGACUGGGAUAACUUCGGGAAACCGGAGCUCAUACCGGAUCAUAUAUUGAACCGCAUGGUUCAAUAGUGAAAGACGGUUUUGCUGGCACUUAUAGAUGGAUCCGAGCCGCAUUAGCUAGUUGGUAAGGUAACGGCUUACCAAGGCAACGAUGCGUAGCCGACCUGAGAGGACGAUCGGCCACACUGGAACUGAGACACGGCCCAGACUCCUACGGGAGGCAGCAGUAGGGAAUCUUCGGCAAUGGGCGAAAGCCUGAUGGAGCAACGCCGCGUGAGUGAUGAAGGCCUUCGGAUCGUAAAACUCUGUUAUUCGGAAAGAAAAAAUGUGUAAGUAUCUAGGAGCGUCUUGACGGUACCGAAUCAAAAAGCCACGGCUAACUACGUG